CAUUGUCACACAUGCUUCAGUGCUCUGAGAGUGUUUAUAGUGCUGUGAGUUUAACACUUCAUGACUGAGAGCAGAACAGAACACAAUCUUCAUCAUCACACAAGACAAAAGAACAACAAUGAACAAAAUCACCUUCUUCAUCUGGACUCUCACACUGUUUAUUCAAGAAUCCAGAGGAGUGACUCUGACUCAACCUGAAGUUAAAAUUGUCCAACAGGGUCAAACAGCUACAAUAGAGUGUCAUAUAGAUGUAGGAAUAUACAGCAGCUACUUAGCCUGGUAUCAGCAGAAACCUGGAGAAGCUCCUAAACUCCUGAUUUAUGCCAUAAACACCCUCCAGUCAGGAACUCCAUCUAGAUUCAGUGGCAGUGGAACAGCAAAUACUGGACGAGAUUUCACUCUGACCAUCAGUGGAGUCCAGACUGAAGAUACAGGAGAUUAUUACUGUCAGAGUUUACACUAUAUCAACAGUAAAGAAGUGUUCACACAGUGAUAAAGAGUGGUACAAAAACCUCAGUCAGUCAGACGUCACAGUGAUGCACUGAUACAGCUGAGAGAUACUGCAGCUGCUGAUGGAGGAUCACAAACAACACAAUGACAAUGUUUAGCAAAGUUUCUAAAAACUUUUAAAAUUAAUUAAUAGAGUGAACAUAAAUUUAUAUAUAGUCUUUUUUUUUAUGAAAUAGAGGUAACUUUACAAUAAGGUUUAUUAGUUAACAUUAGUUAACUACCUCAAUUAACAUGACCUGCACUUAUACAGCAUUUAUUAAUCUUUGUUAAUGUUAAUUUCAACAUUUACUAAUACAUUAUUAAAAUCUUGUCAACAUUAUUUAAUGCACUGUGAACUAACAUGAACAAACAAUGAACAACUGAAUUUUCAUUAACUAACGUUAACGAAGAUUAGUAAAUACAGUAACAGAUGUAUUGCUCAUGGUUAGUUCAUGUUAGUUAAUACAUUAACUAAUGUUUAACUAAUGAACCUUAUUGUAAAGUGUUACCGAAAUAACCGUUAGUGCUGAUAUGAAUUAUGGCAGCUCUGGGAUGUUUUAUUGUUUGUGUUUCAGAUCACAGUAUGAGAGCGAUGUGGAGUGAAGCAGAAAUAGCAGUUGUUUUUAAUGUGUUUUCUCUCACUCCAGGAUUGAAAGAAGCGGUUUCUUUCUCCAGUGGUUGGGAAAAAUAUGCAUACUAACUGAUCAGAUUUAGUCUGAAAGCCCACUAUGAGUACA